UAAAAUGGGUCAAACUAUUUUAUACCGAUAUUAACAGCAUAAUUAUUAACAAUGGCUUCUUCUCAAACAGUUUCAACAUCGAACGAGGGAUAAGACAAGGAUGUCAACUUUCAUCCUCGCUAUUUAUUAUUUGCAUCGAGUAUCUAUCACAUUAUAUCCAAUCAAAUAAAAAUAUAAAGGGAAUAUCGCUAGAACCUGACGAAGAAAUUAAACAGUACCUAUUUGCUGACGAUGCAACUUACUUUUUAAAUGACAGUUGUGACUCAUUCAAUAAUCUUAUAGAAUCACUAACCCUUUUUGGAAUGGCAUCGGGUCUUAAACUAAACAAAAGUAAAUGCACUGUGCUACGAGUAGGUAAAUUUUAACAAAGUAAUAUUCAACUUAAAAAAGAAAUGAAAUUCAACUGAACAUCAGUUGAAGCAACAACGUUAGGAAUAACCUUUACAAACAAUGCAAGUUCUAAAAAAACAUAUUGCCUAAAUUACAAAAAUUACAAAAUUGUUUAAAAUCAUGGCAGCAUCGUAAACUAACACUAAUCGGAAAAAACACAGUGUUGAAAACGUUUGCGCUCCCUAAAUUAAUUUACACACUAACAGUUCUCCCAAACCCACCAAAUGAUAUUAUUGACGAUAUAAAAUCAAAAAUAUUUCAUUUCAUAUGGGACGGUAAACCUAAUAAAAUUAAGCGAACUCAAUUUAUUCAACCAGUAGAAAAUGGAGGUAUCAGACUAACGGACAUUCCUGAAUGCAAUCAAAUGCAGUUGGGUUACAAGAUAUUUAGAUAAUACUAAUAAGAGUAAAUGGAAAGUAUUCUACCAGACAAUUCUAAAAACAUAUGGUGACUCGUUACUUUUUGAAUGUAAUAUCGACAGUAAUAUCUAAGAUGAAAUUUCAACCAAAAACAUAUUUCUAUCGAAUGUUCUAUCGGCAUGGUGCAAAGUUACUCAUAAUUUAGAAACCAAAAUAAACAGUACAAUCAUUUUAUGGGACAAUAAAGAUAUAACUACUAACAAGAAAACGUUUUUCUAUAAACAUUGGUUUGAACAAAACAUAAAAUAUGUAGAUCAAUUGUACGACAACAUAAUAAAUGACUUAAACAAGUACAUUAGUUGGAAGUAACAAUUCACUGAAAAUUCAACAUUUUGUAACAAUCAAUUUUAUAGAAACAAUAAGAAAAAGUUUGCCCAACAGAUCUAUUUUCCUGUCCGUGCGUGGGUGGCUUUGUGUUAGGAGAUCCCCGACCGUGUUUUGACCUCUGCCACACUGUUCGCAAACAAAUGGCAGUCUAAAAGUAAACGAAAUAUGAAUAUAAGUUAUCGACAAUCAUGACCAUUUGAGUAACAUGAACGUAGGAUUAUCAUAUUUAAGGCGCAAAACACUACCAACAAUGUUUAUUGACCAACUUUUGUUAUUCAGACAGACUUUAAAUUUUAUUGACGUUAAUGUCAAUCUUUCGAUUCUCUAGUUUAGUUUGUAUACCACACAUAGCAUUUAAAAAAAAUUGUCCCACAUAUAGCAUCAUUACAUUUUCAUACACACACUCCGAAUCAGAUGUAUUUGCGCAAACAUACAAUGUAUGUAGCUUCUCUAUGAAGAAUUACAAUGUCCGCCCUAUUUUUUAAACCAUCGACAACAUUGUUAUCAACGUUUUUGUUGAUCGAAUAAAAAAUAUACCACACAUAGCAUUUCACUUCGUGUGUUUUCAAGCACGCGGUUGCACUUUUUGGAAAAAUUACUUAAUUAAUUUAGCGCAAACUUACCAAUGUUGUGUCUUUUGACAAUGACCGGGCACUCGUCUUUGUUGUUUUUUUAAAUGGUUUUGAAAUAAUGAAGAAAUUAUCAAAAACGUUACCUGAAGCGACGUUUUGUUUACAUCCGAUUGUCCCACACAUAGCCGAAAAAGUCACGUGGUUCAGGCACCUUGGAUAAUGUAGUUUUUACCAUGUAUAAUCAUGAUAGUCAUGUAAAGUACAUUGAGAAGCGUUUAAUAAAUCUCUUACAAUACAUUUUAUGAAUGGCCAAUAUUUUAUAUAUAGCUUUAUGUUUUAUAUAUGCAUUGUGAACAUUGUAAAUAUUGGAUGAGAUUAUAAUAAACUAUGAAAAAAAGAUAUGAUGAUGCUAUAAUCGGAUGUAAGUUUGCAAAUUUGUUAAACUUCUACUGUUUUAUGUCUGUGUAAUGUUAUGCAAAUGCUUUAAGUUCAUAUUAAUUUACAAAACCUGUCCAUGAACGUUUAGACGGCGCCUCGUAUAAACUUAUUUUAUUUUCCUCGCAUCUAUCAUUUGAUCUAGAGGUCGUUGCUUCAAGAUUAAACAAAAACCCGUUUGAUUUGAUUAUAUUUGAAUAUAUCCAGGCAUUUGUAAAAAUACUUUAAUGAAAUUUUUUAUCUGUGCGGAUCUAUUCAUUUGUGCCCUUAUAUUGUUUAAGUUAUGCUUAAUAACAAUUUGUUUUACGGUAUUAAUUCAUUCUUUCGUGGCAUAAAAAGGUUUAAAACAAGCGUAUGUAUGUAAUUGUUGGUAUGUGUAAAAAUUUAUUGUGAACAGUAAUGUAUUUGUUUGUUAAAAAUGGUAUUUUAUAUUUUGUAUAGUAUGCCAAUACCCCCUUUACAAGAAUAGCUUAAACGAAACUUGUCAACAAAUGACCAACAGCCCCGGAUCUUUGAUAUUAUAACUCUUAUAUGAUUCGAUACUAUGGAACAUAAACAUCCAUCCCGGAUCUUUGAUAUUAUAACUCUUAUAUGAUUCGACACCAUGGAACAUAGACAUUAAAUAAAUAGCCAUUCAGUCUGUUACCUUAUGUGUAAGAAAGUAUCUAUUUGCAACGAUUUUUGCUGAUUUCACACAGUAAACAAAGUAAUUAAUACUUUAAGAUUUUUUUUCGUACUCUGUGUAUCAAUUUUAGCGCUUACUUUCCAUUUGAACGAGACAGUAUAACACAUAAACUGAUAUAAUUAAUACAUUUGUUACCCUCCUCUAUUUCUAUUUCGGUGGCAGAGUGACCGACAAGGGUGACUGAACACUAGAGCGCGCAAAUGAGUUAUCUUACAUUUAACUCCCGCGCAAAAGAUUUGCAAAAUUAUGUAAGGGGCCACGUUUCUUGAUUAUAAUUGUGUAAACGUGUAAUGCAUAAAAAUUGUGACACUGAUCGUGUAUGCUUUUUUUAUUUAGUUAUUAUAUCAUUAAAUAACAAUAUAUGUUUAUGUAAAAUGUGUGUUACUUAUUCAAACAUACAAUUUCCCUCCAUUAUGCUUUUUCGUAAAUAUUAAUAAUUGAGUAUGCAUUUAAUAAAUGGUGUUUAAAAAGAAAGCAAUAAUUGUCCGUUUGUUGGUUUAAAUGUAUUUUGAUCGACUCAAUUUUAGCUAUGUUUCCUUUCAAUAAUGGCAAAACAUUUUUCAAGUUAUUGAUCUGUUAAAAAUACACAGAUACAACUGAUAUGUUACUGAUUUAAUUUUAUUCACUUCUGGAAUAGUUUGACAACGGAUGCUCUUUUUUAUUGUAAUUUUAUUGUAUCUUACUUAUUCUUUUUUUUUUAAAUAUAACUUUGAUUGUAUUCUCGUCCAAUUACACAGUCUGUAAUUUAAACCGAAUUGUUGCUAAUUAAUUGUGUCGGCUGUUUUCUCUAACAUAUAAACGUUACUUAUAAAUCAGAAUACUAUAAACAGAUAAUACUGUAUAUAGUUCGUAUCCUUUCAUAGUCUUAUUAAACUAAAAUAUCAACUUCUCCAUUGAACAUUUCAAAUUUUGUUUUCCCCUUGCUAGGUUUAAGUCGUUUAAUUUAAUUAUUUAGUUUUAUUGUAUUGUGUGACCCAUAAAACAUAACAAAGACAGGUUCUUUUAUAAAAAAGGCCAACUAUGUUUGCUUGUAUGCGUAAUCACUAGGUUUUCAUGUAUCUUAACUCAAGAGCCUCACCUUUGUAUCUAACUCUUACAUGCAUGUAUUUGUUUUUGUUUUAUGGAGUGUCGUUAAAUGCAUAUGCAUGUGCAUAGUUGUAUUUGUAUAUAUAUUUGUCCGUUUAUACUUACAUGUAACCAAGAUUAUUUUCUGAAAUAUCAUAACGUUUUAAUUGUUUUUGUACAUGACUAUUGUUGCACAAGAAACCAUUGUGGUUCAUUUGAACAAAAAAACUAUUUGUGUUCUGUUUUUAACACGAGUCAAUUCGAAUAGCUAACAAUUAAACACCAAAACCAAAGACUCUAUGAGAAGAGAAAAUCUUGUUUUUAUCCACUUCUUUUUUAGAGCACCAACAACAAACAUAAAAUUAUUUAAACCGAGAGCACCACCUUGAAACAGUCCUCAAGUAUAAUGAAUAUCAAUUUAUAUCAGCUGAACUUGUAUUCAGUGCAUUAUUGCAUGAUUGUUGUUUAAAUUAUGUCAAAAUUCUCGCUGUACAAAUAUUUAUAUUCAUUAUGUAAUUUCCCUGCUUAUAUGUACUGUGCUUCUCCAUCUUUUUAUGUAAUGUGCUAUAAUUUUGUAAAAUAUUCACGCAAUAAACUUGUAAAAUUUC